AUUGAACGCUGGCGGCAGGCCUAACACAUGCAAGUCGAAUGGUAACAGGAAACAGCUUGCUGUUUCGCUGACGAGUGGCGGACGGGUGAGUAAUGUCUGGGAAACUGCCUGAUGGAGGGGGAUAACUACUGGAAACGGUAGCUAAUACCGCAUAACGUCGCAAGACCAAAGAGGGGGACCUUCGGGCCUCUUGCCAUCAGAUGUGCCCAGAUGGGAUUAGCUAGUAGGUGGGGUAACGGCUCACCUAGGCGACGAUCCCUAGCUGGUCUGAGAGGAUGACCCGCCACACUGGAACUGAGACACGGUCCAGACUCCUACGGGAGGCAGCAGUGGGGAAUAUUGCACAAUGGGCGCAAGCCUGAUGCAGCCAUGCCGCGUGUAUGAAGAAGGCCUUCGGGUUGUAAAGUACUUUCAGCGGGGAGGAAGGGAGUAAAGUUAAUACCUUUGCUCAUUGACGUUACCCGCAGAAGAAGCACCGGCUAACUCCGUG
rnacentral:rRNA from 1 species